GGCUUCGUUGGAGUGUGAACUGUGUGUGUGUGUGUGUUUGUCUCUGUGUGUUGAACUGUGUGUGUGUGUGUGUUAGAUAAAUUAUAUUAAGACGUUAAUAUUAAUGAGACAGAGACCAGCAAUCAGAAUUAAAUCAGCGCUUUAUCUUUUGCAAAAGAGGAAGUGUGUCACAAACAAAUGUCAUGAACAGACUCCGAAGAUGAGCUGGGCGCAGCCAGCCUUUAUAAGUUACAGCACUGUUCUCAGAACAUGUCCUUGAAAGAAGAACGGUAUGCGUGACUAUCAGUACAAAAACAGGUGAGUAUGCCUCAGCAAGACAGUAGGCCUCAGCAAACAGGAUAAGCAUUCAGAUUAAAAAUAGAAUAACAAUGUCUUCAUUGAAUUUCUCUAUCCGUGUGUUUGUUUCUGUGUGUAGAACUGUGUGUGUGUGUGUUUGUCUCUGUGUGUAGAACUGUGUGUGUGUGUGUGUGUGUCUGUGUGUGAAGGUCUCCUACAGCACAGAGUGCAUUAUUCACGUCUUUGUCCACACGUUUUGGCCCUCAUGUGAUGCCCCAGUUUUCUAAAACUCUUUGUUGAGACAGGCCUUUCAGGACACACACACACACACACACACACAGACGUUUGAAUAGAUGGGUAUCAGACCAGGACACACACACACACACACACGUUUGAAUAGAUGGGUAUCAGACCAGGACACACACAAACACACACACACACUUUUGAAUAGGGUUGGGUACCGAGAACCGGUACCAAUACAACCGGUACCUACCUUCAUUUUGGAGUACUCAGUGUGUUCAAGUAACAAGAUUAUCUAUAAACAAGAUAGAAAAGAUAGGUAUAAACAAAUCAUAAAAUGGUGAAAUUUCAUGAAAUAAAUGCAAACAAAAUAAUACAUUUUUGACUCCAAAGGCAAAUAUGCUCAUAUCUUUGCAAAAGAAGUUUGAAGCUGUUUUUUGUAUUUAUUUAUAUUUAUUUAAGUAUACUAUAAACUGUUGUUUACAGUUAAUAUAAUGUUCAUAGUUUGAAGUUAAAAGUUUGAAGCUGUAGUUGGAAGCCAAGUGUUUUGUAUGUAUUUAUAUUUAUAAUAUACUUUAAACAGUUAAUAUAUUGUUCAAUUUGAAGAAAAAAAAUUGCCUUGGCUAUAAAAAAAGCCUUUCUUUAAUGUCGUCAAUCGUCGCUUUGUGCUUUUAAAAAAAAAUCGGUUCAGGCACCGUUUAGGCACCGGUAUCAUUUUAAAGGUAUCGGUUUAGCACCGGUAUCGAAAAAACCCAAACGAUACCCAUCCCUACUUUUGAAUAGAUGGAUAUCAGACCAGGACACACAAACACACAUUUAUAACACUCUGGGCCUCAUUUACUAACAGAAUUGCGCCUACUUCAGGCGUAAUUUCUGCGCAAAUUGCAGGUAAAGACAUGGCACCGUAUUUACAAAGGCGGUGCACUUGAGUAAAAACGCAGAUUGCCCGCUGCUGGGAGAGUAUAAGGGAAAGUGGGUGUUUGUCGCAAAGAGAUGGGAGGAGAUGCCUAAAGUGCGCCUUAUUAUGUAUUAGUAACGAAACAAGAGGUGUUUUAGCAUGACAUAUCAGCUGCUAAAUGAAAACUAUGUCUGUGCGAGAAAUGACACAAUUAAUUAACAAAAAAAAACGAACAUCAGAAAUGUUAUUUGUUUAAAUGUUUAUAUUUGAUAUAUAAUUUAAUAUAGGCAUAUACAAAAUUGUCCCACCAGCUAGCUGUUCUGCCAGGUCUUACCCAGAAUCGCCGCUCAAUGUAUGGUUCUUUGCCUUUUUCCACCCAUCGUUCAAGCACUUUGAGUACAGUGCUCGCCUUCUGCGUAGGAGUAACGCGUAUCUAUUCAGGAAAAUAACUUGUACCUGAAGAACACUAACUAAACUAAGUAAAUUGUAGAGACAGAGCAGCAUAUUAAUUUCACCUGUGUAGUGUGUAUGUGUGUGAGUGUGUGUGUGGAGUGAGUGUGUGUGUGUGAGUGUGUGUGGAGUGAGUGUGUGUGUGUGUGUGGAGUGAGUGUGUGUGUGUGUGUGGAGUGAGUGUGUGUGUGUGUGUGUGUGGAGUGAGUGUGUGUGUGUGGGGAGUGAGUGUGUGUGUGUGGAGUGAGAGUGUGUUUGUGUGUCUGGAGUGUGUGUGUGUGUGUGUGUGUGGAGUGAGUGUGUGUGGAGUGAGUGUGUGUGUGUGUGUGUGGAAUGUGUGUGUGUGGAGUGAGUGUGUGUGUGGAGUGAGUGAGUGUGUGUGUGGAGUGAGUGCUUAUAAUGCUGAUUGUCGUGACUGACUGUGAUGGCCUACGUGUGUGACGUGAGAGAGUCUGUGACAGAGCCCUCCUCUCAGCCACCUGACAUAAACAACGAUGCGAGA
ensembl:lncRNA